rnacentral:lncRNA from 1 species
CCCUAAUAUUUAUACUUAGACCUACUCUCAAUGGAAUACUUCUUUGAUUAGAACUUUCAUUGUGGAAAGGAAGAACUUCUCCCCCCUCCUUGGUAUAGAAACAACAGUGGGGGGUUAGUUGUUGUUGGUUUGAAAAAGACAUGGAAGAGGACAGAGUUUCUUCUGUGCCUGAGUCUACUCUGCCUCCUACACACAUACAGACGUGUCACCAGGAAUAUGCUAUUGGUUGUGUUCAUGAUGGUUCAACAGAGUUCCACAAAGGCUAACGCAGACUGAUGAGAUGUGAAAGAAGGGCUGCUCAUCAAAACAAGUUAUUUUCUGGACUGUCAACAUUGCAUGAUGAGUACAUGACACAACUCGUGCUGGACACAAAAUUGAGUGCACCCAAUGGAACACAGAGGGGUAGACGGAGUUCCUGGCAUGAGGUGUGGGAGUAAAGAAGAGCAGAGUCUUUUCCAGCUAUUUCUGGGGGGUUUACUGCUGGUUUGCUCAUCUGUGAAACUGGUACAAGGGCUGAUGUUAAAAGUGAGUGAAGCAAGUCUUCUUAAACUGCCAUAAUCCUAUAUAUUUUUCCCAGAUUUGACUUUCCAACUAUGUUUAUUACUGUUUUUAAGGAUCUUAUUUCUUGUACUUGUAGGUACAAGGCUUUGAAGAGGAGCAGUGGACUUGAACCAUACUUUCUCUUUGCACAAGAGCAGGUGUGACAUAAGUACAUGAAUUUGGGGCAUAAAUUUAAGCUGUUUCUCUCUGACCCCUGUUCCCAUUAGUCCUCACCUGUGUGUCUGGAGUGGUGCUAUUUUCAUCUCCAUUAUGGAGUUCCUAGAUUGGGGGGUUAUUUCAUAAGCCAUUUACACCCAUUUUUCUUAGUCUGUAAGAUCUAAGAAGAGGGCAAGAAACAGCUCGCAUUUGCAAGAACAUGGCCUAACAAAUUAGGUACUUUUUUUCUUUAAAAUAUUUUUCUUAUGUUCAUCUUCUUUGCACGUUCAAUUUUCCUUUUACUAAGGAAAUACACUUG